CCACCGCCUACUUUUGGUGCUCUGUUUGCCGACAUGAGAACAGCUGUGCCCAUCAAGGCAAGGCUGAUGUCGCAAGGCAUAUCAAAAGCAAAAUACAUCGUUCAUAAGAACAGGCAGCACAGUCAACAGCCAGCAUUGCGCUAUAUUAUGGCCCAGCCACUGUUGGUGGCAUGACAUCUCAGGAAGUCAAGGUACUAGGCGUUAUACCCGCUGCUAUUAGCUGAAUUGCACUUGUAGGUUAUAUGAGCAUAAAUACAUAGUAAAUGAAACAAAUGCCUAGCUAAUCUGAUGUUCAUUUGAACUGUUCUUAUUUGUUUAUUUUUGUAUGUAAUAGUGUUUUCCUAUGGACCUUGAGUCUGCUGCUAAGACAUUCAUUCAAUUUUAUUAAUGUUUUUGCAUGAUUUGCUCUUUAAUUACAUCCUUUCUGUUGCAGACAAGGAGAGCUGAGGUAAAGUUAGCAGUGUCGAUGGUGGAACACAAUGUGCCAUUUGCAGUAGCCGAUCACUUCAGCCCAUUGCUGAAAGAAUGCUUCAAAGAUUCCCCUACUGCACAGAGCUUCAAGGCUGCCCGCACAAAAAUGUCCUGCAUAAUAAAUGAAGCAGUGGCUCCUCACUUUAGAAAGGAACUGGUCAUGAAGAUGAGGACCAAUCCUUUCACGUUGAUCACAGAUGGAUCAAAUGAUACAGCUCAUUACAUUUUCCACAUUUUCCAGCACCCAUUUUAGAUAUGAAUUAAUGUAUUAUAUUAAUCAGAACAAACAAACAAACAAUUUCAGUCUGAUGAGUACCUUUAAUCUGACAUAUAUCAUAUAUGUACCUAUCGUUACAGGACGUGAGAAGAUGAACCCGCUCACUGUGCGGGUAUAUGACAGUGAUCUCAGCAAAGUUGUCCACAGGUUCCUGGAUAUGUGCCCCACCAGCGGGCCAAACUGCGGCACAGCUGAAGUCAUCUACAAGAAGAUGGAUGAGGCCAUGCAGAAAAACGCCAUACCAUGGAGAAACUGUGUCAGUCUGUCAGUUGAUAAUGCCCCUGUCAAUACAGGAGCAAGGAACUCCAUCGCAUCCAGAGCUCAUCAAGAACAUGGCAGUAUCUACAUCCAUGGGUGCCCUUGUCACAUCAUCCACAACACUGCCAAACAGGCUGGCCAGGCCUUUUUGGAGGUGUGUGGAUUUGAUCCAGAGGAUCUCGCUGUGGAUGUUGGAUAUUGGUUUAAAGGAAGCACCAAUCGCAAAGGUUACCUAACAGCUAUGUGUGUGCAGUCCCAAUGUAGUACAAAUUAAAUCUAUAAUACUUUGAUCAAAUUGGCAUUAAGAUGUUCCAUUCUUGUCCUAGAAUUCUGUGAGCUCCAUGGAAGUGAGUAUAUGGAAAUGCUCAUGCACGUUUCUGUUCGAUGGUUGAGCCUGGAGAAGUGUUUGACUCGUAUCCUGCAGCAGUAUGAGCCACUGGCCAGCUACUUCAAGUCAUUAAAUGACAAACAGCCAAGGUUCAGGAGGCUUGUGGAGGCAUUCUCUGACUCAAUUACAGAGGUGUACCUACUGUUCUUUCAAGCAACUUUUCCAGUCUUCUCCACAUUCAACCUCCUCCUCCAGAGAGAGAAGUCGUCAAUCUUCCUACUACAUGAUGAGAUGAGGGGUUUUAUCCGCAAGCUGCUCUCAAAGUUUCUGAAGCCCGCAGCAUUGCAGCACCGGGAACUGCAUGAAAUAUGCUUUAAGGAGCCAUCCAACCAACU